rnacentral:rRNA from 1 species
UACGUGAGGGUGCAAGCGUUUGUCCGGAAUUAUUGGGCGUAAAGAGCUCGUAGGCGGUUUGUCGCGUCUGCUGUGAAAACUCGGGGCUUAACUCCGGGCCUGCAGUGGGUACGGGCAGACUAGAGUGCGGUAGGGGAGACUGGAAUUCCUGGUGUAGCGGUGAAAUGCGCAGAUAUCAGGAGGAACACCGGUGGCGAAGGCGGGUCUCUGGGCCGUAACUGACGCUGAGGAGCGAAAGCGUGGGGAGCGAACAGG